rnacentral:rRNA from 1 species
GGGGUCUAUAGGGAAUUGGGGGGGCGAGCUUUGAAUGCAGAGAUGUUUGUGUGAGUGAAGAGGGCGCUUCGGGUUGUAAAGCUCUUUUAGACGGAAAGAAAUGUCUCGGGGUAAUACCUUGGGAGGAUGACGGUACCGUAAGAAGAAGCACCGGCUAACUACGUGCCAGCAGCCGCGGUAAUACGUAGGGUGCGAGCGUUAAUCGGAAUUACUGGGCGUAAAGCGUGCGCAGGCGGUGAUGUAAGACAGAUGUGAAAUCCCCGGGCUCAACCUGGGAACUGCGUUUGUGACUGCAUCACUCGAGUACGGCAGAGGGAGGUGGAAUUCCGCGUGUAGCAGUGAAAUGCGUAGAUAUGCGGAGGAACACCGAUGGCGAAGGCAGCCUCCUGGGCCAGUACUGACGCUCAUGCACGAAAGCGUGGGGAGCAAACAGGAUUAGAUACCCUGGUAGUCCACGCCCUAAACGAUGUCAACUAGUUGUUCGGUGAGGAGACUCAUUGAGUAACGCAUCUAACGCGUGAAGUUGACCCCUCUGGGGAGUACGGUCGCAAGGUUAAAACUCAAAGGAAUUGCAGGGGGC